ncrna:unclassified sequences DTF3800-VIII RNA
ACAGCUCUGCUUUUUCCCGAAGCCCUGCGUUCCACGCGGGGUAUUGAUGUAGGAAAGGCGGGGCAAU